rnacentral:lncRNA from 1 species
GAUCGUCGUCGAAUUCCGCCAUCAUCUCCACCACCGCGGAUCAUCCUUUGAUCUCCCCAUGAAUUGCAACAGGUUCUGGUUUCCUACCUUACUGCUGCUGCAAUUUAGUUAUCCUUAUUCGAAAAUCAAAAAAAAAAAAACUGUUCCGAUAUUGCUGCAUAAACCUUUCGUCACAAAGUUUUCAUCUCUACGACGAAAGAUACAUUGCAGAAUUCCAGCCG